AAUGGUCAAGUUGAGGGAAAUAAUUGGGAGAAGUCAAAUGAGUCUCGGGAAUCAGCACACCGCAUUAACAUGCAAAGAACUGGGCUAACGGGAAGGUCGAAACUUUUCCAUAUUACCUGACAAACUGAUUAUUAACACAUUGCGAAAUGAUAAUUGUUAUCCGAGACAUUCAAAGAAUGUGAACAAGAAGUAGAAGCACGCUAAAUAUCAUCGUUAUUUUCCGUCCAACGCGUUUCCCUACGUCUAUCUUCAUUCUCGAGUAAACAUUGCAUCUUGGUAGCCUUCCACGAGCCUUUUGCAGAUCCUUUUCUCGAGAUGCCGUCAUGGCACCUACUAGAUCAUAAUGGGCACGGAAUAUUCACGGUCACAAUCAACUACAACCUUCC